rnacentral:rRNA from 1 species
CAGCCGCCGCGGUAAUACCGGCGGCCCGAGUGGCGGCCACUAUUAUUGGGCUUAAAGCGUCCGUAGCCGGGUUGGUUAGUCUCCCGGGAAAUCUGGCCGCUUAACGGUCAGAAUUCCGGGAGAUACUGCCAGCCUAGGGACCGGGAGAGGCCGAGGGUAUUCCCGGAGUAGGGGUGAAAUCCUAUAAUCCCGGGAGGACCACCUGUGGCGAAGGCGCUCGGCUGGAACGGGUCCGACGGUGAGGGACGAAGGCCAGGGGAGCAAACCGGAUUAGAUACCCGGGUAGUCCUGGCUGUAAACGAUGCGGACUUUGUGUCGGACAAGCUAUGAGCUUGUCCGGUGCCGGAGGGAAACCGUUAAGUCCGCCGCCUGGGGAGUACGGCCGCAAGGCUGAAACUUAAAGGAAUUGGCGGG